rnacentral:lncRNA from 1 species
GUGGGGGAAAUAAAUAAGGCACUGUUGCCAGGGCCUGAGCCCAGCAGAAAAAGGGUGUGUGCAGAGGGAGGGCCUCGGGUCCUGCUGCUCCUCCUGGACUCCUUCAUCCCAAUCCCUUCACAUCCUCCUCCAACAAGGACUCCUACGUCCCUCCCCGGCUAACCUGGAUCCUGCUCAACCCAACACCUGCCUUCUCUCAGUCCCUGGGUUCCCGCAGGCCUUGGGGCCCCACAGUCAUAUCUGCUAUUCCUGCAGAAUCCUCCUGCCUCCAGCCUCCCUUGAUGAUCAGUUCCUGCCUGGGGUCACCAGGCUGCUUCAAAUUGGGGUGACCAUGGUAGGGAUGGUGACUUGAGAUUCCUGGGCCAUAAUGCAGCAGAGAGGUUGUACUGGGUUGAGAGAGAGGCCUCAGAAUCAAGACCUUGU